GAGAUGAUGAUGAAGCAAAUUCUUAAUUCCAACACUUGGACUGAGAAAUUAAAUUUCAAGAGAUGUGAAAAGAUGCUUCUGAGUCUCA